rnacentral:rRNA from 1 species
GAUGAACGCUGGCGGCGUGCCUAAUACAUGCAAGUCGAGCGAAUGGAUUAAGAGCUUGCUCUUAUGAAGUUAGCGGCGGACGGGUGAGUAACACGUGGGUAACCUGCCCAUAAGGCUGGGAUAACUCCGGGAAACCGGGGCUAAUACCGGAUAACAUUUUGAACCGCAUGGUUCGAAAUUGAAAGGCGGCUUCGGCUGGCACUUAUGGAUGGACCCGCGUCGCAUUAGCUAGUGGGUGAGGUAACGGCUCACCAAGGCAACGAUGCGUAGCCGACCUGAGAGGGUGAUCGGCCACACUGGGACUGAGACACGGCCCAGACUCCUACGGGAGGCAGCAGUAGGGAAUCUUCCGCAACGGACGAAAGUCUGACGGAGCAACGCCGCGUGAGUGAUGAAGGCUUUCGGGUCGUAAAACUCUGUUGUUAGGGAAGAACAAGUGCUAGUUGAAUAAGCUGACACCUUGACGGUACCUAACCAGAAAGCCACGGCUAACUACGUGCCAGCCGCCGCUGUAA